CUUAAGCAUAUCAAUAAGCGGAGGAAAAGAAACCCCCCGGGAUUGCCCUAGUAACGGGCGAGUGAAGCGGCAAGAGCUCAAAUUUGAAAGCUGGCCCCCUCGGGGUCCGCAUUGUAAUUUGCAGAGGAUGCUUCGGGAGCGGUCCCCAUCUAAGUGCCCUGGAACGGGCCGUCAUAGAGGGUGAGAAUCCCGUAUGGGAUGGGGUGCCCGCGCCCGUGUGAAGCUCCUUCGACGAGUCGAGUUGUUUGGGAAUGCAGCUCUAAUUGGGUGGUAAAUUUCAUCUAAAGCUAAAUAUUGGCCGGAGACCGAUAGCGCACAAGUAGAGUGAUCGAAAGAUGAAAAGCACUUUGAAAAGAGAGUUAAACAGCACGUGAAAUUGUUGAAAGGGAAGCGCUUGCGAUCAGACUCGCCCACGGGGUUCAGCCGGCAUUCGUGCCGGUGUACUUCCCCGCGGGCGGGCCAGCGUCGGUUUGGGCGGUCGGUCAAAGGCCCCUGGAAUGUAACGCCUCUCGGGGCGUCUUAUAGCCAGGGGUGCCAUGCGACCUGCCCGGACCGAGGAACGCGCUUCGGCUCGGACGCUGGCAUAAUGGUCGUAAGCGACCCGUCUUGAAACACGGACCAAGGAGUCUAACAUCUACGCGAGUGUUCGGGUGUCAAACCCGUGCGCGCAGUGAAAGCGAACGGAGGUGGGAACCCUCACGGGUGCACCAUCGACCGAUCCUGAUGUUUUCGGAUGGAUUUGAGUAAGAGCGUAGCUGUUGGGACCCGAAAGAUGGUGAACUAUGCCUGAAUAGGGCGAAGCCAGAGGAAACUCUGGUGGAGGCUCGCAGCGGUUCUGACGUGCAAAUCGAUCGUCAAAUUUGGGUAUAGGGGCGAAAGACUAAUCGAACCAUCUAGUAGCUGGUUCCUGCCGAA
rnacentral:rRNA from 1 species